AUUGAACGCUGGCGGCAGGCUUAACACAUGCAAGUCGAACGAGCGGCGGACGGGUGAGUAAUGCGUGGGGAUCUACCUUAUGGAGGGGGAUAACUACGGGAAACUGUAGCUAAUACCGCGUACCAUAGGAUGAGCCCAUGUGGGAUUAGGUGGUUGGUAAGGUAACGGCUCACCAAGCCGACGAUCUCUAGCUGGUCUGAGAGGAUGACCAGCCACACUGGGACUGAGACCAGGCCCAGACUCCUACGGGAGGCAGCAGUGGGGAAUAUUGCGCAAUGGGCGCAAGCCUGAUGCAGCCAUGCCGAGUGUAUGAAGAAGGCCUUCGGGUUGUAAAGUUCUUUCGGUCGGGAGGCGUUAACAACAGAAGAAGCACCGGCUAACUCCGUGCCAGCAGCCGCGGUAAUUC
rnacentral:rRNA from 1 species